AACGAACGCUGGCGGCAUGCCUAACACAUGCAAGUCGAACGAGACCUUCGGGUCUAGUGGCGCACGGGUGCGUAACGCGUGGGAACCUGCCUUUAGGUUCGGAAUAACUCAGAGAAAUUUGAGCUAAUACCGGAUAAUGUCUUCGGACCAAAGAUUUAUCGCCUUUAGAUGGGCCCGCGUUGGAUUAGCUAGUUGGUGGGUAAAGGCCUACCAAGGCGACGAUCCAUAGCUGGUCUGAGAGGAUGAUCAGCCACACUGGGACUGAGACACAGCCCAGACUCCUACGGGAGGCAGCAGUGGGGAAUAUUGGACAAUGGGCGAAAGCCUGAUCCAGCAAUGCCGCGUGAGUGAUGAAGGCCUUAGGGUUGUAAAGCUCUUUUUACCCGAGAUGAUAAUGACAGUAUCGGGAGAAUAAGCUCCGGCUAACUCCGUGCCAGCAGCCGCGGUAAAGUGACUACUG
rnacentral:rRNA from 1 species